UGCUAAUUGAUUGGUGCUUGCAUCAUGAUUUACAUUUGAGUGAGUGGCGAACUGGUGAGUAACACGUGGGAAACCUGCCCAGAAGCGGGGGAUAACACCUGGAAACAGAUGCUAAUACCGCAUAACAACUUGGACCGCAUGGUCCGAGUUUGAAAGAUGGCUUCGGCUAUCACUUUUGGAUGGUCCCGCGGCGUAUUAGCUAGAUGGUGGGGUAACGGCUCACCAUGGCAAUGAUACGUAGCCGACCUGAGAGGGUAAUCGGCCACAUUGGGACUGAGACACGGCCCAAACUCCUACGGGAGGCAGCAGUAGGGAAUCUUCCACAAUGGACGAAAGUCUGAUGGAGCAACGCCGCGUGAGUGAAGAAGGGUUUCGGCUCGUAAAACUCUGUUGUUAAAGAAGAACAUAUCUGAGAGUAACUGUUCAGGUAUUGACGGUAUUUAACCAGAAAGCCACGGCUAACUACGUGCCAGCAGCCGCGGUAAUACGUAGGUGGCAAGCGUUGUCCGGAUUUAUUGGGCGUAAAGCGAGCGCAGGCGGUUUUUUAAGUCUGAUGUGAAAGCCUUCGGCUCAACCGAAGAAGUGCAUCGGAAACUGGGAAACUUGAGUGCAGAAGAGGACAGUGGAACUCCAUGUGUAGCGGUGAAAUGCGUAGAUAUAUGGAAGAACACCAGUGGCGAAGGCGGCUGUCUGGUCUGUAACUGACGCUGAGGCUCGAAAGUAUGGGUAGCAAACAGGAUUAGAUACCCUGGUAGUCCAUACCGUAAACGAUGAAUGCUAAGUGUUGGAGGGUUUCCGCCCUUCAGUGCUGCAGCUAACGCAUUAAGCAUUCCGCCUGGGGAGUACGGCCGCAAGGCUGAAACUCAAAGGAAUUGACGGGGGCCCGCACAAGCGGUGGAGCAUGUGGUUUAAUUCGAAGCUACGCGAAGAACCUUACCAGGUCUUGACAUACUAUGCAAAUCUAAGAGAUUAGACGUUCCCUUCGGGGACAUGGAUACAGGUGGUGCAUGGUUGUCGUCAGCUCGUGUCGUGAGAUGUUGGGUUAAGUCCCGCAACGAGCGCAACCCUUAUUAUCAGUUGCCAGCAUUAAGUUGGGCACUCUGGUGAGACUGCCGGUGACAAACCGGAGGAAGGUGGGGAUGACGUCAAAUCAUCAUGCCCCUUAUGACCUGGGCUACACACGUGCUACAAUGGAUGGUACAACGAGUUGCGAACUCGCGAGAGUAAGCUAAUCUCUUAAAGCCAUUCUCAGUUCGGAUUGUAGGCUGCAACUCGCCUACAUGAAGUCGGAAUCGCUAGUAAUCGCGGAUCAGCAUGCCGCGGUGAAUACGUUCCCGGGCCUUGUACACACCGCCCGUCACACCAUGAGAGUUUGUAACACCCA
rnacentral:rRNA from 2 species